CUAAACCCUCUUCGUCUCAAAUUCUCUCUAGCCCCUCCGAAACCCUUGCCCUCUCCCAACGUCUUCAACCAUGUUUCAUCGGAAUCCAUGGCAUCCUCAAGCCUUGGAUGUCCUGUACUCACCUCCACAUGCUCUUGUACGCCUGCUACUGGAGGAUUCAAGGUCUAACCUUGAAGUUUUUGCUCAGUUCAUCGCCGAUUCAAGUUUCACGGCCAUCUCCGACAUGUUUUGGUCCUAUGAGCCUAUAUCUGGCUCACCUGGCUCAGAGCAGACCCUUUUCCAGGCCUUUCU
rnacentral:lncRNA from 1 species